UGUAACAAGAAUAUGGAUUUACAAAAUUUUGGAACCUGGCACAAAAUUGUUUCAGGAAGAUUUGAAGCAAGAAGUAUUUGUUCCUCUGAUUUACAAUGAAAAGUAAAAGUGGAAGUGUAAGAUGGAAAUCCUCCUGGCAUUUAAGAUCAUCAUCUCCCUCAAGCCUUCCUGUCAGAAAGAGAACAGCCCUAAGUGAAAUGCUGCAGAUCAGUGAGUUGGUAAACCAGCUAGGGAAACAGUGUGUUACAGCCGAUCAGACCUCUGAAAAUAUCCCACUUUGAAGAUGUAAGAAUGAGAGAGACAUAUCUGAAUAGGAUCCAGAGAAGCAAUUGGGUCUAAGGCAUUUGAUGUUGCUGAUUUUGGGGAGGAACGCACAACAAGAAGUAGGAAAGAUGCUUCUGCACAGAUCUCAAAGUUUCAGAGAGUAUAAAAGCUUUGAUAGUCAUCUGUUGCCACCAGAAUCACUGUCAUGACUGGCAUUUUAUGGGUAAUUAUUUCAUAGUCACUGGAAAUAGAAGCCUACCAACUUAAGUUCUGAUGAUAGUUGGCCACUAA